rnacentral:rRNA from 1 species
CCUACGGGGGGCAGCAGUCGAGAAUUUUUCACAAUGGGCGAAAGCCUGAUGGAGCGACGCCGCGUGGGGGAUGAAUGGCUUCGGUCCGUAAACCCCUGUCAUUCGGGAGCAAUGCCUGCGGAAUAACACUUUGCAGGUUGAUAGUACUGGAAGAGGAAGGGACGGCUAACUCUGUGCCAGCAGCCGCGGUAAUACAGAGGUCCCAAGCGUUGUUCGGAUUCACUGGGCGUAAAGGGUGCGUAGGUGGCUUGGUAAGUCUGAUGUGAAAUCUCGGA